AACUAAUCAUGAUCUUAAAAUGCCACCCUCCGAAACUAGUUCUAACUUUCUCUUUAAAAAGGCCCAGCACAAAUGCCUCGUUACUUCCAAGUAACCUCGAGAGAUUUAAAAACCUCGAGACUCAAUCUAGUUAUGUAGUAUAACACCACUGUAUCUAUUGCUGUCAUUCUCGAAAGAAAAAAAAAAAAUCACAUCAAAUCAAACCUGCAAGCUAAACCUUCCUUAAAUAAGAUUCAAGAGCAUCAAGCACUAGGCCUUCACAGAAGCACACAAACAAUUUCUGUAGCGCUAUGUAAGCUUGGCAAGUGCCCAGCACCAUGGUUCACAGAGAUCAUUCCCCCGAGUGCCCGGGCCCCCCGCACGGCAGCGUUUCCAAUCCCAUUUCCUAUCACGGUAAGCCUGGGAGUGCAGCUGAGACAGAUCUUUUCCCCACUGCCAUCUUCCCAGUAAGUCCAGAAGGAGCAAUGACAACCAGAAGGGCAGACAGAAGGACAACCAGCCCUGCCAGGGCCACCAAGACCUUCGUGGCUUUCGGGGGAGAGGGUGCCACGGGUCUCGCGGGAUGGUGUCUUUCACUGGUUUAUCUAAGACAACCUAUUAUCUUCACUCUCCUUAUGGCAAAACUUUCAUGGAUGUGAGCAUUAUUAAAAAGUAACCAUUUAUAUGAGUUCUCUACUCAAACACAGUUUAUGGAGGGUGCCACUCACGCAUCUUCCUCAACAAGGCACACACGGCGUUUUUGGAUUGGAUGGCCAAAAGCUGUCAGAGAGCUGGAAGAGAAGUGACUUGCCUGGAGUCACAGGACAAGAAAAUGAGGCUGAGUCAUACACAUGACUUAAUCUGCCAUUUUAAAAGGAUGGAAAAGGUGCUUUUUAGGAUAUGAACACUUCUACGAGACAUCUGCACUCUUCUUGGAGACAGUAUUUGGAAAGCAAUUGCCCGUUUUAGCUCGCCUCUGGUAGCACAGUUGGUACAGGACUACAUGUCAAGGAGACAUCACAUCUCCUGCGAGCAGGAGGAGUUCCUGGCUGCCCCUUAUGUGAGCUUGGAAUGGCAGAAGGGAUUGGAGCGGCAUCUCAGCCUGUUUCAAGGGGCUUGUAAAAACUUCCCCAUCCUCUGCCUGUGGGAGGUUAAGGGCACCUUUUCCAAGCCAUUUCUUAGCCAAGUCAGGAAACGAAGCAGCACAACCCACGGCCCUGUGCCAUCAUCAGCACACCACAGGAGUGCUCACAGGGUCCGCAUUCGAAAUAUCAAGCAAUUUCUUUAAGUACCAAAAGGCCAAUCCUGGGAGCCCAAGGCUUUGUUUAUACAGAGGAAGUGGCUGGCACAGCUUUUGAAAACCGCAUUAUUCCGCAAGAGCUAUUCCAGUAGAGCACUUAGGCAGACAGCCCUUUAAAGGGUUCCUUCACAAAGUAUGCUUUUAUUCCAGAACAGAAUGCACUUGCAGAGGGUGACCCUUCUGCUGCUGCGAAGCAGCUCUGCAGCAGAUAAUACCUCACUCUCUGUAUCCCUUCAUGAUCCUUUUAGAUUGUAAAAUGGUUCUCAGAAAGGUCAAUGAAUGCACAGAAUCCUAAGACCAUUUCCCACUCCGAAAAGUUACUUUGGGCAAUAAAUUACAUUCUACAA